rnacentral:lncRNA from 1 species
UAAGGUUUGGGAAUUAUACUCAUAUACGAUUGUUAUUCAUGUGUUUCGUUGGUAAUAAUGUCAUUGUUGAUGUCAUACAAUUUUUAAAAAGUGUUACUCAACCAUCUGAGAAUUUACACUGAAGAGGGGCUCAUACAAGCCUGAAAUGCAUAUGUAAUUUACAAUAAAGGAAUACUUAACCUCAGAGCUGAAAGAAAGUCUACCGUUUGUUAACCAUUCGGAUUGAAGAGACAUAUACUAAAUCUAAGUAUUUAUCAGCUAUUAUACCAGAUUUUGUGAA